CUGGCUCAGGAUGAACGCUAGCUACAGGCUUAACACAUGCAAGUCGAGGGGUAGCUGGGUAGCAAUACCGCUGACGACCGGCGCACGGGUGAGUAACACGUAUCCAACCUUCCCAUAACUCAGGGAUAGCCUUUCGAAAGAAAGAUUAAUACCUGAUAGUACUUUUUCAAGGCAUCUUGAGAAAGUUAAAGAUUUAUUGGUUAUGGAUGGGGAUGCGUUCCAUUAGAUAGUUGGUGAGGUAACGGCUCACCAAGUCUUCGAUGGAUAGGGGUUCUGAGAGGAAGGUCCCCCACAUUGGUACUGAGACACGGACCAAACUCCUACGGGAGGCAGCAGUGAGGAAUAUUGGUCAAUGGGCGAGAGCCUGAACCAGCCAAGUAGCGUGAAGGAAUGAAGGUCCUAUGGAUUGUAAACUUCUUUUAUAGUAGAAUAAAGUGAUCCACGUGUGGAUUUUUGUAUGUAUACUAUGAAUAAGGAUCGGCUAACUCCGUGCCAGCCGCCGC
rnacentral:rRNA from 1 species